AGUCUUCCCCUUUCCUCAAUGAUUAGUCACAUACUACAUGACCUCUGGGGGAGGACUAUUGUUAUGAGUUGAAUUGUGUCCCCUAAAAAGAACAUAUGUUGAGGUCCUAUCCCCCGUUAUCUGUGAAUGUGAGCUUACUUAAAAAUAGGAUCUUUGCAGAUUUAUCCACAUUAGGAUGAGUUUAGUUCAUCAGUGUGGACCUUAAUCCAACAUGACUGAAGUCUUUAUAAAAUGGGGAAAUUUGAACACAAAGAUAAGCACAGAAGGAAGGCAAUAUGAAGACACAGGGAGAAAACAGCCAUGUAAAGCCAGCAUUGAAGUGACACAUUUACAAGCCAAGAAACACCAGAGAUUGCAACUACCACCAGAUACAAGGAGGAGGCAAAGAAGGAUUGCCCUCCAGGUUUUGGAGGGAGUGUGGCCCUGCCAACACCUUGAUUUCAGACGUCUGGAUUCCGGAACUAUGAGAGACAAAAUUUCUGUUGAGGUUUGCUGGGUUCCUUUGGCUGCAUAUCUAGAAUCUCUCAAACAACAGCAGUAGUACCAUCUUUCCCAUCCUUCCCACCCAACGCCCUUCAGGGGACCGCAAGCUCCACACGGUCUGUUUUGCUCCCUGGAGUAGCCUCAGUGCUGAAC